rnacentral:rRNA from 1 species
GCACAAGCGGUGGAGCAUGUGGUUUAAUUCGACGCAACGCGCAGAACCUUACCAGCCCUUGACAUGUCCAGGACCGGUCGCAGAGAUGUGACCUUCUCUUCGGAGCCUGGAGCACAGGUGCUGCAUGGCUGUCGUCAGCUCGUGUCGUGAGAUGUUGGGUUAAGUCCCGCAACGAGCGCAACCCCCGUCCUUAGUUGCUACCAUUUAGUUGAGCACUCUAAGGAGACUGCCGGUGAUAAGCCGAGAGGAAGGUGGGGAUGACGUCAAGUCCUCAUGGCCCUUACGGGCUGGGCUACACACGUGCUACAAUGGCGGUGACAAUGGGAAGCAAAGGCGCAAGUCCUAGCAAAUCUCAAAAAGCCGUCUCAGUUCGGAUUGGGCUCUGCAACUCGAGCCCAUGAAGUUGGAAUCGCUAGUAAUCGUGGAUUAGCAUGCCACGGUGAAUACGUUCCCGGGC